GACCAUUCUUGAUGGAGUGACGGGACAAUCCGCCAAUCGACGCAAGCGGAACAAUUGGACGGUGUGGGGGGGCACAUGAACAACGCCCCUCACGGCUACGUGUUGAACGUGUUCUCCCUGCAGCUGCAUACCAUCACCUCAACUUGAAGGAACAUGCACUAAUCCGAUUCCAAUGCAGAUGCAACUCUGAGAGAGAGUGCACAGGUCCGGGCCCAAGGCUAACUGUGGUCAUGCAUUGCUCCAAAGAGGCAGACUGUCCUUUGAUUCAGAAGGCAGGAAUCGAGAUCCGGAAACACCGAUGAUGAUGACUCUCCAAUCGGUCCCAUUAGCAAACGGAAAGCAAGCGGAUCCACGACGAGGAAGGAACGAAGGGGAAGUCUCUGACAAACAGGACUCCUCUCCAACUUCUCCACGAUGCGCUUGAAGCCCGGAUUCUCAUUCCUAAAAAGAAAAGCGGACGUUGAAGCCUCGCGAAUAACGUCGAGGCAGUCCAACGAGGCGCCUCUUGUCCUCCGGGAGGUCCUCCAGCUCGUUGCUACUCCUGACUCCCGGCAGCUCCCGCCACAGCGUGUUGGACUGCGUGAGCGAGAUGGAGAGCCGCGGCGAUGUGGGCCUUCCCUCACUCCUCGGGGGCUCGGGCAGAGGU